AUAACCUAAGUAACUGGCUAAUAGCAACUGUAGCAUCUGUUCUUAUUAGUUUAAUAUCUGAUAUGUCCUCUAUUUGAGAACCAUCUAUUAAAUAGGUUUUUGGAAAUAAGAGCUGGAGCAGGAGCUUGCUUUGUCCACUCUAUGCAUCAACCUGGUAUUGUACUGCCUCCUGGAAUGCUGCACCCAAU